ensembl:lncRNA
CGGUGAUGGUAUUAUAUCACGGUAUGUUAAUUGUAACUUCUAAUUUCGAUAUAAAUGUUAAGCUUGCUGGUAGUUCUACCAUGAGGACUCAAAUCACGCGCGGCUGGCCACCAAUCACCAGCUACCAAUCACCUGCCUACACCUGCUCUAUAAAGAGUAGUCUAACAUGUUUUUGCUGCUCAGGUCUUCGUUCGACGCAUACUGCUGCUUUACUGUGCUUCUGAUUACCUUGCAUAUCUCGUCGCUCAGUUGCUACGUUGGUUAAUACACACCAAGAGGUCAUAACUUCGGAUUCGUGCUGGUCGGCCUGGUCCGGGCAAGCGAGCGCAGAAAGCCGUUCAUUUCGGUCCCCGGUAUCCUCAACAACACCACCAACAAGUUCCCAACACGGACAUCCGCCUGGUUCUACAAACCCUCGCCGAGUUGGUGCAAAGCAUUGGCGCCAGGAUGGACGUCGUCGAAACACCACGCGGAACUCCCGGACGGGUCCCGGCCCCCAACCCGCUGUCGUCAGUCGCCACGGCGCCUUUCUACUUCCAGCAACCAUCAGGCUCGGCUUCCUCCGCCUUCACAGGCUACGCACCUGGCACGUGCCCUGCUACCAUGGCUACUGCAGUCCACGCGUAAGCCCCCGCAGCGUAUUCUCUCUCACAGCUCUACCAGUCCAGCUUCAGGAUGCGGCUCCCUCGGUCGGGUUAGGGGGUUUCUUCCAAGGGCAAUGGUUUGCUGAGGGAGGGCCAGUCGAAACUGGCACGUUCGCCCUCGGGUCAGAGUCGUCUGCGCUGUUCGAGCUUUACCCUAUCGUAGCAGAUAGCGUUCUGGGGGGCAAAGCAUGGAGGCGUUAACGUAUAACCAUGUUUUGCGAUAACAAAGCAGCGUCAAAACGGCUGGGAAGGUGGUUUUUCCACAGCAUACGGAUUUUACAUCCGGUUGAAUUCGAAGCAGUAUAGAUCCUUGUCCACUUCUUCUACGGCGGGUCUUCGUUCGACGCACCUCCAUCCACCCCACCACCACCAGGUCGGCCUCAGUCUACUUGUCCAGGGGAAGGCUCCGCCCCUGCUAGUCCUGGCAGGAUACGCCGAGUCCGCACGUCACCCUGGAUCAGUGACGGGGCUCAUGCCAAAGAUUUUUCCAUGCAAAAUAUUCCCAUGACGUUAUUUAAAUAAAUCCUGUUCAUACUUAUCGGUGAUCAAGUCUUUAUGGGAGAAAUG